rnacentral:pre_miRNA from 1 species
AAAAAGGCAAACCGUGGGUUCCCGUGCCAACGUUUGACUGUCCGUCUUAUAUGAAAUUUUUUUAUAAUUAGUAUUUUCAUUGUUGUUAGAUGAUAAAACAUGAUUAAUACUUUAUGCGUGACUUAUCUUUUUAAUUUUGUUCAUAACUUUUUCAAAUAAAACGGACGGUCAAAUGUUGGACACGAAAACCAGAGUAUGUCUUUUUU